GCCGAAAUGGCGCAACUGGUAGCGCAACUGACUUGUAAUCAGUAGGUUACGGGUUCGAUUCCUGUUUUCGGCACCA
rnacentral:tRNA from 1 species